UUAUAAAAAAAAGCAAUACAUCUACCAAAAUUGGAACGCUACUGAGAAGAUUAGCAUGGCCCCUGCGCAAAGAUGACACGCAUAUACGUAAAGCGUUCCAUAUUUUU
rnacentral:snRNA from 1 species